rnacentral:rRNA from 1 species
GUGGGGAAUAUUGGGCAAUGGGCGAAAGCCUGACCCAGCAACGCCGCGUGAAGGAAGAAGGUUUUCGGAUCGUAAACUUCUAUCCUUGGUGAAGAUAAUGACGGUAGCCAAGAAGGAAGCCCCGGCUAACUACGUGCCAGCAGCCGCGGUAAUACGUAGGGGGCAAGCGUUGUCCGGAAUGAUUGGGCGUAAAGGGCGCGUAGGCGGCCUGGUAAGUCUGGAGUGAAAGUCCUGCUUUUAAGGUGGGAAUUGCUUUGGAUACUGUCGGGCUUGAGUGCAGGAGAGGUAAGCGGAAUUCCCGGUGUAGCGGUGAAAUGCGUAGAGAUCGGGAGGAACACCAGUGGCGAAGGCGGCUUACUGGACUGUAACUGACGCUGAGGCGCGAAAGUGUGGGGAGCAAACAGGAUUAGAUACCCUUGUAGUCC